rnacentral:rRNA from 1 species
CGUAGGGUGCGAGCGUUGUCCGGAAUUAUUGGGCGUAAAGAGCUUGUAGGCGGUUUGUCGCGUCUGCUGUGAAAAUCCGGGGGCUCAACCCCGGACUUGCAGUGGGUACGGGGCAGACUAGAGUGUGGUAGGGGAGGACUGGAAUUCCUGGUGUAGCGGUGAAAUGCGCAGAUAUCAGGAGGAACACCGAUGGCGAAGGCAGGUCUCUGGGCCACUACUGACGCUGAGAAGCGAAAGCAUGGGGGAGCGAACAGGAUU